rnacentral:ribozyme from 1 species
AUAGAGACUUGUUCUGUAAAAGGGUUGGAUCCGAAACCUCUAGAAGGCUACUAUAGGCUCUCCUUCUCAACUCCUACUCAAUACGUCCACGACGUGCAGAACGGUAACUUGU